rnacentral:sRNA from 1 species
UUGCCCUUAUUGUCUUCCCCAGAUUGC